rnacentral:snoRNA from 1 species
CCUACCCAUAGAAGCAUUGCGGCUAUGGCUGUAAUGUCAUGUGUGUGUCGGUAGGUGGCAGAGAGAGAGAGAGGCUAUGUCUACGCUCAGUGUUCUGACCUGGAUGUAGGGGUUGUAGGUGAGCCAGCCCCA